GACUAUAAUCAUCCUAACUUUAUUCAUUAUGCAAGAGUAAAGCUCCAAACUUAUGGUAUUUUUUCUGCCAAGGUUGAAUCCAACGGUGAGUUAAAACUUGGUCGCUAUACCCAACUCCACAUGUUUGUUGUUGGAGACGAAGACAUUGAAGGGAAGAAUGUAGCUUAGUUGUUAUUGUGGUAGCCAUUUGGAAUGUGUUUCCUUGAACUUAUUAGAAUUUUACCGUUAAUGACCGCUAACAAUAACUUUUGACUUAAACUUUUAAACUUGUUUAAUUGAUUGCUUGAUGUGUUA